GCGCGAGUGGUGGAACUGGCAGACACGCAGGAUUUAGGUUCCUGUGCCCUGACCGGCGUGCGGGUUCGAGUCCCGCCUCGCGCACCC
rnacentral:tRNA from 6 species